rnacentral:lncRNA from 13 species
AUUGAGACCAUCCUGAGCAACAUGGUGAAACCCUAUCUCUACUAAAAGUACAAAAAAUUUGCCGGGCGUGGUGGUGCGUGCCUGUUGUCUCAGCUACUCAGGGGACUGAGGCAGGAGAAUUGCUUAAAACCGGAAAACGGAAGUUGCAGUGAGCUGGGAUCGCGCCACUGCAUUCCAGCCUGGUGACAGAGCCAGACUCUGUCUCAAAGAAAAACAAACAAACAAAAAAACAAUGACGAAACACAGUAAGUUCACAAAGAGAUACUUAUGCAAAGAAAGAUAUUAUUCACAAAAGACCGAUUCUUAUGGAUUCUGGAGGAACACUCUCCUGGUAAGGGAAGAUUGCCUCAACUGAGCGCGUGUACAACUCCAGUGAACACACUGUGCAUGCAACCCUACCAAGUUCCAGCAGGCCACUCUGUGUAGGGACAGCCUACCCCAAUGGAACAAUCGAGAGAAAAAGAACACAACAUCCCUGGAAGCAUGCCAAUGGAUAAAACCCCAAGUUAAAGGUCAAACAGUGCAUUUGAAUAUCUCAAGUCGCCUGUGUGGCCCUCUUCCAAGUGCAUUUUACUUCCUUUUGGUCCUGCUCUAAUACUUUUUAAUAAAAGUUUAUGCCUGCU